rnacentral:lncRNA from 1 species
UUAAGUCUGAAACGAGAGAUAUCAUAUCAAAUAUUCAUCAGAUUAGUCAAAUUGAUCUGUCUAUAAAAUAAUAAUUUCAUAUUUGACAACACAAGAGGGAGUUAUUGUGUUCUAUUAAACUUUAGUCGACUAAUUUUGACAAACUUCACCUGCACUUUUGAACACAACAAUUUAAAGAAAAUAGUUAGAUGUAUCAGAAAAAAUAAUUAUAAGACAUAAAUAUAAAAUAAAAUUAUAGAGUGACACAAAUAAUUUUAUAUUGGUUCGUGUAUCUGUGCGAGACCUAUAUUCAGUCCCUUUAUUCCACAAGGUUAUCUUAUUACUUCUCAGUUUUGGAUCAAUUACAAUUAUGGUUUUAGAACUCGUUCACCACCAAUGAUUUUCACUCAAUCCUUUGCUUUUAAAAGCUCACCAAAGAAACUUACAGACACAAUUUUUCUCUUUUCACUCAUACUCUUUGCUUUUGUUUUCUACACUCACAAAAGUACAAUAGUACUUGCUAGAAAACUGAAAGAGAGUAGUCUUGUUUGAGAUGGAAGUUGCAUGCCUGAACUAAGAAGCUCUUUAGAAUUUAUAGCAUCUUUGUGGUUGGCCGUUGUUCCAUUCUUCACGAUGUGCGUUGGUUAUAUUUCGCUACUUCCAUAAAUGAUGAAAUUGACUUGUUUUAGUUCCAAGAGGGAAUGUUGGAACUAACUCUACGAGUGGCCCAAGAGAGUUUUAUUUCAGUCAGCCUUGAAGCACGAUAAUUCAUUAUUCUCUUAAUGACUUAAUUUUCACCAAGAAGAUUUUAGCCCUUGUCAUAAUUGCUCAAGUCCCUUUGAUCUUGUGGGCUUGUAUCCACUUUGGCACUCUAAUCUAGAGUUAUUUAGAAUAAGAAUCCUAGCUGAAUUACCAAGAUUAAAUCGAUGAACAUGGAAGAGAGAUUGUGUAAAGUGCUCUACUUUCUGAAAACAGUAGAAAUGAAAGCUUACAGUUAGUGUGAGUGUCUAUCUACUUAAUACACAUUUACUUGACAACUAUCCUAUCUAACCCACUAGCUCUACAGACUAACAACUAUGCUAACUAAUAACUAAUUACAUGGGCAUUAGUUACAACUGAAAAUAAUUAACAAGAUAGCUAGCAUUACGUUACACCUCCACUCUCAUUACUCCCCCUCAAGCUGGUGGGUAUGAAAAUAUUAAGGACACCUAGCUUGGAAACUAGAAACUCAUGUUGUGGUCUAUAUAAUCCUUUAAUCAUAAUGUCUGCUUGUUGCUCUUUUGUAGCAAGAUAUUGUGUUUUGAUCAACCCUUCUUGUAUCUUUUCUCUUAUGAAAUAGCAAUCGAUCUCUAUAUGUUUAGUUCGCUCGUGAUAAACUGGAUUUGCAGCAAUCUAUAGUGCUGUCUUGCUAUCACUAUAGAGGUCUACUGGCAUAUGGAGCUCUUCUCCAAGUUCCUUGAACAACCCUACAAUUCAUACAAUUUCUGAUACGGUGCUUGCCAUGCUCCACUACUCCGCUUCAUCUGAGCUUCUGGAAAUAAUUAUCUGUUUCUUUGACUUCCAUGAUAUCAAGGAGUCACUAUGUUUUAUCAAAAAACCAGUGACUGAUUUUUUGGAAUUGGGACAUGAUGCCAUCUGCAUCACAGUAUUCUUUCAGCUUGGUUGAUCUUCUGCUGCUCAUGAGAAUCCCCAUUCCUGGUUCUCUUUUCACAUAUCUCACCACUCUCAAGGCAUCAUUCAUGUAUGAUCGUUUAGGUUGAUGCAUAAACUGACUUAGAGUUUGUACAUCAAAGCAAAUAUCCGGCCUGGUUAGUGUCAAAUAUAGGAGUUUUCCUAUUAAUCUCUGAUAAACACCUUUAUCAUGCAAAAUUUUAUCAACUGUCCUCCCUCCUACUCAGUCAACUUCAAUAGUGGUUAGCUUUAUUUUGUUAUCUAAAGGAGUGCAUAAUGGCUUUGAACCAUUUAGGCCCAUGUCUCCAAUGAGUUUCAAGGCAUAUUUUCUCUAAUUCAUUAAUAUCCCCUUUCCUGAUCUGCUAAAUUCUAUUUCCAAGAAGUAUUUGAAAAAUUUGAAAGAAAAUUGGCUUCCUGGAAAAUGCAAUACUUAUCCUUUGGAGGCAGCCUAGCACUUAUCAAUAGUGUGCUAGAUACCAUACCAAUAUAUUUCAUGUCCCCAAUCCCAGUUAAGAUUCAAAGGAGACUUGAUCAAUUAAGAAGAGAUUGUUUAUGGGAAGGCAACAGUGACACUUACAAGUUCCAUAUGGUUAAAUGGCCAAGAAUUAUUCUUCCUAAGAACCAUGGAGGGCUAGAGAUAAAGGAUCUUGCCUUGCAUAACAAGAGUUUAUUGAUGAAAUGGCAUUGGAGGUAUAACAUGGAAAGUUCAGGGCUAUGGAAAACAGUAAUUCAAGCCAAGUAUGGGGUGACAAACAACUGGUGCACUAGGCAGGGGAGAGCUCCACAUGGUUCAGGCCCAUGGAAACACAAUUCAAAGCUUUGAGGAGAAUUCAAGCUCAAGUCAUCACUCAAGCUAGGGAACUGGGCUCAUAUAUCUUUCUGGAAAGAUAAAUGGCUAGGAAUAGAGACCCUAAAAGAUGAAUUUCUAGCUUUAUUUUUACUAGAUAGUAAUAAAGAUGCAACUAUCUUACAUGUUUGGCAAAAAUAGUGCUUGGGAUCCAGAUUUCAGAAGGGACAACCAAGAUUGGGAAUUGAAUGAUCUGUUGGGUUUGCUUAAUAAAUUAUCAGGUGCUAAUGUCAAUUCCUAGGUGCAGAAUAGGUUGGAAUGGGGUGAAUCAAAAGAGAGAACCUAUACUCUCAAAAGAGAAAUGACAAUCUAUUCUCCAACAUGGAAAAUACCUACCAGAUCCUCUUCCUUGAACCAACAAACUUGAAACCUGAAAGCAAAUUCAGAAAAGUCUCAAAAGCUCGCUGAAAAUAUCACUAAUUCUAAGGAUGUUUGACGAUCGACGAAGCAGCAUCUUCGAUCCAUUCUCAAUUGACGUGUUUGAUCCCUUCAGGGAAUUGGUCUUUCCAGGUUCCAAUUCACAUGAGACCACUGCAUUCGCGAACACUCGAGUCGACUGGAACGAAACUCUAGAGGCCCAUGUGUUCAAGGCAGAUCUCCCUUGGCUUAAGAAAGAGGAAGUGAAAUUGGAGAUCGAAGAUGAUUAGGUUCUUCAAAUCAGUGAAGAGAGGAACGUGGAGAAAGAGGACAAGAAUGACACGUGGCACCACGUGGAACGCAGCAACGGGAAAUUCAUGAGGAGGUUCAGACUUUCGGAGAAUGCAAAAAUGGAUCAAGUUAAGGAGAUGAUGGAGAAUAGAGUGCUCACUGUUACUGUUCCCAAGGAAGAGGUGAAGAAACCUGAUGUCAAGUUCAGUGAGAUCACCGAUUAGACGCUAUAUAAGUUUAUAUGUAAAUGUAGCAAGUACUCUAUUGAUUGCGAGCCAUAAUAAAUAGAUAUAGUAAGGUUUAUAUUACUGAAGAUGUAGAUUUAUUCUUCCUUCAUGUCUCAUCUUAAGCCGUCUCCUUAUUUGGCCUAUCAACCUCUAAUGUAUUCCCCUGUGUAAUAAUAUUCCUACUGUUGUACUGUGGUUCUGUUCAAAAUUUUAUCUUACACUUUCCUUCUUUUUUGCCUUUGUAUGUUUUAUGUUGUUUAAUCAGUUUGCGUUUGAGUGAGAGACUCUUUGGUACUCUCUGUUCUCAUGUUCUGUAUUUCCAAUUCUAAGAUUUAAAAAUAAAAUUAACAAAUAAGAGACAUGAGGACACUAGGUUGUUCAAAACUUACUGAAGCUCAUCGAAUUUGCAGUAUGUAGCGGAACAUAAUAUCAAUCAGAUCUUCAAUACUUCAAUUUAUUCAAGUCCUGAGUUAGAAUUAGUUGAGGUUGGUAAUAUGUCAAACUAGGUGGGGCGGCUGAUCCUUUUUGUUCUCCUGCUAUGCGUUCUCAAUUUUUUUCUUACAAAUAAAAAAAAGGAAUUAAUAAGAGCAUAUAAGACUCUCCUGGAAAGGAUAAUAACAACAAAUUAUAAACUUGUUACUCACCAACAUCAAUUUCUCUUUGGUGUUAAUAGCCAUCCGUAUCACUUGAUCGCUACUUGUUAGCCCCAAGGCAGUUUAGUUGGUUCAUUUUUAUCAGCGAGCGUUAAGCUGCCUAAGCUCUUACAGAGGAUCAAAUUAGAAGCUUAGCUUUCCAGCAAUAGAAAGCAUCUUGUGUUUUCCGAAUAACAACAAUCUGGCGGGCAAGUUUGUGAAAAGGACCUGCAGGAAAGAAGCAAACUCUGGGGGGG